UGCAAGCGGCCCUCUCUCCCUCAAUCCGUCACCCGACGCCCCUUGUAGCCUCUCUCUCUCUCUUCCCUCUUUCUCCGAUGGCGGAUUCGAUGAGCAGCGACGACGAGCAGGAUUACUAAUCCGAUCGAGACUCCCUCCAAGGAAUCGAAAACGACGAUGAAGACGAUUGCGAUUGGCCUUCUCCAAACGUGCCCUCUUGUCAGGUUUUCUGGAGCAGAUAGGGAGUGGACUCUCUCAAAGUAAUUCAAACAAGGAAACCCCAAACUUACAAAAUGCUUUGCCUCUCUCAACACCCAAAGAUGCUAGUUCUGUUGCUUGGUCAUGCAUCAUGACAUGCUCUGUGGUUUGCACCAUGCAUCAUGCAUGCUUAAACAAGGAGUGGAGCAUAGAGGAUUUAUUUAUUUAUUUUUCAUGUAUUCAGACCAUUGUAAACUUAUUGUUGUAAAUAUAUAUAAUUUUUAUUAUAAAGUUGUACAAUAAAUAUAUAUAAAUCCGUAAGGUAGGGCAUGCUUAAUGUGCAUGUAUAAAUUUUUGCUGC